rnacentral:lncRNA from 13 species
GAGGAACUGGCUGAUUCUAUCUCUUUGAGAACAGGAUAUCCUAGAACACUUUAGUCCAGCAUGGCAUGUAGCCCCUGGUUAUAAAACCCAGAGUGGACUGCUUUCUGAGACCCCCUCAGCUACAGAACAAGUUGAGCAUGCUCAGCUCCGUCCUCCAUGUGCGUGCGGCUUUCCUAAGCCGGAGUUCCAGCUUGCCAUGAAUCCUAGGCUUCUCAAGUCCCUUGCUGCCUGUCUGGGAGUAACACAUCUGCUUCAUGGAACUUGCCAGGUGCUAGUGCUCUGUCUCACUGGACUUAGGCUUAUUGGUGAAGCCUCCUUGGACAAUCAAGAAGGCAUUUGCAUGCCCAGACCUCAUUUACCACCAUCAUUCACGUUUAUCUGAGCAGCAUCCAGCCUAUGGGCUGGUUUCUUCUUUAUCUACCUGGCACGUAUCAUGAAAGUAAAUAAUAGUUAUAGAAGGGACUCGUUCAUCACACAGUCAUCACUGUCACUACUCAACUGCUACGACAGUGGUACCACUUCUACGCAUGCUAUGGAGGAACCAGCAAAACAGCUCUUUAAAGACAUUAGGGAUUAAACAAAUAACGGUGAAGCACAUUUGGUAAACAUUUGUUUUUCUUGCUGUAAACAUAGUAUGUCCUCUCGUUGACUUUAAGUUCUGCCCUGAAAUUAAUUUCAUUUAUAACAUAUUUUAAAAAUAAUAAAAACCUUG